rnacentral:rRNA from 1 species
UACGUAGGUGGCGAGCGUUGUUCGGAUUUACUGGGCGUAAAGGGCGCGUAGGCGGUCAGCACAAGUCAGUUGUGAAAUCUCCGGGCUUAACCCGGAAAGGUCAACUGAUACUGUGCGACUAGAGUGCGGAAGGGGCAACUGGAAUUCUCGGUGUAGCGGUGAAAUGCGUAGAUAUCGAGAGGAACACCUGCGGCGAAGGCGGGUUGCUGGGCCGACACUGACGCUGAUGCGCGAAAGCCAGGGGAGCGAACGGG